AGAGUCUGAUGGAGCACGCCGCGUGAGUGAAGAAGGGUUUCGGCUCGUAAAACUCUGUUGUUAAAGAAGAACAUAUCUGAGAGUAACUGUUCAGGUAUUGACGGUAUUUAACCAGAAAGCCACGGCUAACUACGUGCCAGCAGCCGCGGUAAUACGUAGGUGGCAAGCGUUGUCCGGAUUUAUUGGGCGUAAAGCGAGCGCAGGCGGUUUUUUAAGUCUGAUGUGAAAGCCUUCGGCUCAACCGAAGAAGUGCAUCGGAAACUGGGAAACUUGAGUGCAGAAGAGGACAGUGGAACUCCAUGUGUAGCGGUGAAAUGCGUAGAUAUAUGGAAGAACACCAGUGGCGAAGGCGGCUGUCUGGUCUGUAACUGACGCUGAGGCUCGAAAGUAUGGGUAGCAAACAGGAUUAGAUACCCUGGUAGUCCAUACCGUAAACGAUGAAUGCUAAGUGUUGGAGGGUUUCCGCCCUUCAGUGCUGCAGCUAACGCAUUAAGCAUUCCGCCUGGGGAGUACGGCCGCAAGGCUGAAACUCAAAGGAAUUGACGGGGGCCCGCACAAGCGGUGGAGCAUGUGGUUUAAUUCGAAGCUACGCGAAGAACCUUACCAGGUCUUGACAUACUAUGCAAAUCUAAGAGAUUAGACGUUCCCUUCGGGGACAUGGAUACAGGUGGUGCAUGGUUGUCGUCAGCUCGUGUCGUGAGAUGUUGGGUUAAGUCCCGCAACGAGCGCAACCCUUAUUAUCAGUUGCCAGCAUUAAGUUGGGCACUCUGGUGAGACUGCCGGUGACAAACCGGAGGAAGGUGGGGAUGACGUCAAAUCAUCAUGCCCCUUAUGACCUGGGCUACACACGUGCUACAAUGGAUGGUACAACGAGUUGCGAACUCGCGAGAGUAAGCUAAUCUCUUAAAGCCAUUCUCAGUUCGGAUUGUAG
rnacentral:rRNA from 2 species